ACUCCUACGGGAGGCAGCAGUGGGAAUAUUGGACAAUGGGCGCAAGCCUGAUCCAGCCAUGCCUCGUGAGUGAUGAAGGCCUUAGGGUUGUAAAGCUCUUUUGUCCGGGACGAUAAUGACGGUACCGGAAGAAUAAGCCCCGGCUAACUUCGUGCCAGCAGCCGCGGUAAUACGAAGGGGCGUAGCGUUGCUCGGAAUCACUGGGCGUAAAGGGCGCGUAGGCGGCCAUUCAAGUCGGGGGGUGAAAGCCUGUGGCUCAACCACAGAAUUGCCUUCGAUACUGUUUGGCUUGAGUUUGGUAGAGGUUGGUGGAACUGCGAGUGUAGAGGUGAAAUUCGUAGAUAUUCGCAAGAACACCAGUGGCGAAGGCGGCCAACUGGACCAACACUGACGCUGAGGCGCGAAAGCGUGGGGAGCAAACAGGAUUAGAUACCCUGGUAGGCUCUGC
rnacentral:rRNA from 1 species